rnacentral:rRNA from 1 species
UACGGGGGGGGCAAGCGUUGUUCGGAAUUACUGGGCGUAAAGGGCUCGUAGGUGGCCAACUAAGUCAGACGUGAAAUCCCUCGGCUUAACCGGGGAACUGCGUCUGAUACUGGAUGGCUAGAGAUUGGGAGAGGGAUGCGGAAUUCCAGGUGUAGCGGUGAAAUGCGUAGAUAUCGGGAGGAACACCAGUGGCGAAGGCGACUACCUGGCCUGUUCUUGACGCUGAGGCGCGAAAGCUAGGGGAGCAAACGGG